UUUUAUGGAGAGUUUGAUCCUGGCUCAGGAUGAACGCUGGCGGCGUGCCUAAUACAUGCAAGUCGAGCGAACGGACGAGAAGCUUGCUUCUCUGAUGUUAGCGGCGGACGGGUGAGUAACACGUGGAUAACCUACCUAUAAGACUGGGAUAACUUCGGGAAACCGGAGCUAAUACCGGAUAAUAUUUUGAACCGCAUGGUUCAAAAGUGAAAGACGGUCUUGCUGUCACUUAUAGAUGGAUCCGCGCUGCAUUAGCUAGUUGGUAAGGUAACGGCUUACCAAGGCAACGAUGCAUAGCCGACCUGAGAGGGUGAUCGGCCACACUGGAACUGAGACACGGUCCAGACUCCUACGGGAGGCAGCAGUAGGGAAUCUUCCGCAAUGGGCGAAAGCCUGACGGAGCAACGCCGCGUGAGUGAUGAAGGUCUUCGGAUCGUAAAACUCUGUUAUUAGGGAAGAACAUAUGUGUAAGUAACUGUGCACAUCUUGACGGCACCUAAUCAGAAAGCCACGGCUAACUACGUGCCAGCAGCCGCGGUAAUACGUAGGUGGCAAGCGUUAUCCGGAAUUAUUGGGCGUAAAGCGCGCGUAGGCGGUUUUUUAAGUCUGAUGUGAAAGCCCACGGCUCAACCGUGGAGGGUCAUUGGAAACUGGAAAACUUGAGUGCAGAAGAGGAAAGUGGAAUUCCAUGUGUAGCGGUGAAAUGCGCAGAGAUAUGGAGGAACACCAGUGGCGAAGGCGACUUUCUGGUCUGUAACUGACGCUGAUGUGCGAAAGCGUGGGGAUCAAACAGGAUUAGAUACCCUGGUAGUCCACGCCGUAAACGAUGAGUGCUAAGUGUUAGGGGGUUUCCGCCCCUUAGUGCUGCAGCUAACGCAUUAAGCACUCCGCCUGGGGAGUACGACCGCAAGGUUGAAACUCAAAGGAAUUGACGGGGACCCGCACAAGCGGUGGAGCAUGUGGUUUAAUUCGAAGCAACGCGAAGAACCUUACCAAAUCUUGACAUCCUUUGACAACUCUAGAGAUAGAGCCUUCCCCUUCGGGGGACAAAGUGACAGGUGGUGCAUGGUUGUCGUCAGCUCGUGUCGUGAGAUGUUGGGUUAAGUCCCGCAACGAGCGCAACCCUUAAGCUUAGUUGCCAUCAUUAAGUUGGGCACUCUAAGUUGACUGCCGGUGACAAACCGGAGGAAGGUGGGGAUGACGUCAAAUCAUCAUGCCCCUUAUGAUUUGGGCUACACACGUGCUACAAUGGACAAUACAAAGGGCAGCGAAACCGCGAGGUCAAGCAAAUCCCAUAAAGUUGUUCUCAGUUCGGAUUGUAGUCUGCAACUCGACUACAUGAAGCUGGAAUCGCUAGUAAUCGUAGAUCAGCAUGCUACGGUGAAUACGUUCCCGGGUCUUGUACACACCGCCCGUCACACCACGAGAGUUUGUAACACCCGAAGCCGGUGGAGUAACCUUUUAGGAGCUAGCCGUCGAAGGUGGGACAAAUGAUUGGGGUGAAGUCGUAACAAGGUAGCCGUAUCGGAAGGUGCGGCUGGAUCACCUCCUUUCUAA
rnacentral:rRNA from 1 species